rnacentral:rRNA from 1 species
UACGGAGGGGGCUAGCGUUAUUCGGAAUUAUUGGGCGUAAAGGGCGUGUAGGCGGCUUCGUGUGUCCCAUGUGAAAGCCCUCGGCUCAACCGGGGAACUGCGUCUGAUACUGGGUGGCUUGAAUUCGGGAGAGGGAUGCGGAAUUCCAGGUGUAGCGGUGAAAUGCGUAGAUAUCUGGAGGAACACCGGUGGCGAAGGCGGGUCUCUGGGCCGAUACUGACGCUGAGGAGCGAAAGCGUGGGGAGCGAACAGG